AGCACUUUUUAAAACAGGUGCUGACAGAUGUAAGUCCGACGUGCCCGUUUCAAGGCACGGCCUCAAAACUAACAGGCUUUGGGAUUAC
rnacentral:ncRNA from 1 species